AUUGAACGCUGGCGGCAGGCCUAACACAUGCAAGUCGAACGAGUGGCGGACGGGUGAGUAAUGUCUGGGAAACUGCCCGAGGGAGGGGGAUAACUACUGGAAACAGUAGCUAAUACCGCAUACAAUCGGAUGUGCACAGAUGGGAUAAGAUAGGAGGUGGGGUAACGGCUAACAUAGGCGACGAUACCUAGCUGGUCUGAGAGGAUGACCAGCCACCCGGGAACUGAGACACCGUCCAGACUUCUGCGGGAGGCAGCAGUGGUGAACAUUGCACAAUGGUCGCAAUCCUGAUGCAGCCAUGCCGCGUGUAUGAAGAAGGCCUUCGGGUUGUAAAGUACUUUCAUCGAUGAGGCGUUACUCGCAGAAGAAGCACCGGCUAACUCCGUGCCAGCAGCCGCUGUAAUUC
rnacentral:rRNA from 1 species